GCUGCCGGCUGCUCUGAUGAUUAUUAUAGAGCAGGAUUGGAUUCUGGCGCUCAGGCUGGCAGAACCAAGGAGCCCAGCAGCUCCCCCAGAGGCCUUGGUGAGGGAGAGGGCCUGGCCACCUGAACUCGCCCAGCUCUCGGAGUGCUGGGGCCCCUCCCGUCAUCCUCCUGAGCCCAGAGCCAGGGAUCGCGGAACCGGGACAGUCACAGCUCUCCCGGUGCAGAUCACCCUUCCACCUGCGAGGGAUAGGCCCCACCCCCACUAAGGUCUUCAACUCCAGUUAGGGCAGAGGGUGGGGCCUCAAUCCUGGGGUUGGGGAUCCCUCAGAGAGUCAUGUCCCCCGCCCCCCCAUCUGUGUACCGUCCCCCUCCUCCCUCUGGGCCGGCGUGGACGGGUCCUCUCAGGUCCGCGGUAAUUUGUCUGCUCACGCGGGCUCCGCGGCACCCCCUCCGCGCACGCGCAUCUCUGCCCCGGGCCGGAUACUCGGGGCGCUCGGGGUGGGUCCGUCCAAGUUGCAGAGAAAGACUUCAAUGUUGGGGGCGCCCGUCGCUGGAGGGGCAGGCCUCGAGCCCAGGCCGGGCGUUUGCGGGCGCUCAGCUAUUAAGAGCGGAGACGCCUCGUCCCCCGCCCCCCAGGAAUUCUGCAGCUGGGACUCAGCCCAGGCGCGCCUUCUGCGCGGCCCUGGAGGACCAGGAGCGCGGGCGGCGAGUGGUGCUGGCUGGGGUGGGGCUGCUGGAGCAGGUCUUGGGUUGGUGGAUUCUGGCUCCUGCCCUCUCACACACCAAGGCCUGAACCCUGGACUUCUCAGAGCCUCAGUUUCCCCUUCUCAGCCUCAGCCUCAGACCUGGAAACAGGUCAAUUGCUAUCAUCGUGGGCCUGCAUGCCUGUCUGUGCAGCCUCAGCUGGGCGGGAAGAAGAGUAACGGCCCGCUGAAGGCUGGGGAACAGGUCCCCCACCCCACACUACCAGACUCGGCCUGGGCUCCCUGAGAGGAGCGGGGCUUGACCGCUCUACCAGCUGGGCUCGGGUCUGGGGUUCCAACUCAGGCCAGAGUCGUUCAGCGCUGGGAGGCCCCCAUUAACUAGGCCACCCCUGGGUAUGGGUGGUGGAGGCUGGAGCUGACUGGCCUGAGUCCCCGGGGGAGGUGGCUGAAAGGCCCAGGGCUUUGAACAAACCACAGAAGGUUUCUGCAAUAUCAAAAGAGCUCUUAGAGACUAAUCAUGUGGGGGGAGGGGGGACAGUUGGCGAAAGAGCUUCUGCUUGGUUCCCAUCAGCGGAGGAUCAAAAAGCAUUUGGUCAAAGAACCUUUAAAUACCUUGAAAGGCAGGUGAAGCCAGUUCAGUGGGUUCCAAGAGGGAUUGAAAUGCUGGUCUGAGCUGCAGACAAGCUGGCACCAGCCACAGGAAAUGCUGGGGGAGGGGCCCACUGAGGCAGGAGGGAGAAAAGGUGUGGAUAGACCAGCAACCCACCUCCCUAACUGUCCCCUCUUCCCCCACACCCAAAAGUCACUGCGGAGAGGAUGGGGAGGGCAGAGAACUGGGUUCAGACUGACAGCUGGAAGCAGUCUUGCAGGCUUCUGGGCCAGGGGCUUUUCAUCUGGAACCCGAAGGACCCCCACCCCAAACACACACCCAAUUAUGGGCAAAAUGUUGUGUCUGUGUUUGUAUAUGCACUUUUCUAGGGAGGAGAGGUCCACUGACUUCAUUAGAUUUUCACAGGGGUCCAAGACCCAGUCAAGAUUAAAAAACAACAUCCUAUGGUACAGACUGGUAAAAUGAGGCUCAGAAGGACUGAGGGGCUGACCCCGGGUCACUCACCUAGUAAUCAGCAAACUGAGGUGCUUCCACAGUGCAUCCCAGGAAGGGGAUCUCAGUAGCCCCCAUGGCCCUCAGUCAGUCUCAGGGGUCCCAGAGCUGCCCAAGGGGUAGGGAAUGUCUCAGAGCAGAGGCCCAAGGCCAAACUUCUGCCCAAGCCUGGGGCUGUCCCAAGGCAGAAGAAGGAAUACCAACUUCAAUCUUUUAAGGGUGGUGAGGGAUUUGAGGGGCUGAGCCAAACACUUGGGGAGUGUCAGGGUGACCAUGGAGAAGAGAGAGACUGAGAGCCAGAAUCUGGAUGAAGAGGUUACAGGGUGAAGGGGUGUGGGAGGACAGAUAGGGUGAGGGUGAGGUGGGAAUAUGGUUUCUGGCCCUGUAACAUGGCCUGAGAGACCCUUGGGGGCCUAUAGCUAUGGAAAGUCAGCUUGCAGCAGGGUCUUUGGUGCCUGGGGUUACCCCUAGGGAACCAGGAAAGACAGCCAGCCCUUGCCAUCUCCCCAGGGUAUUCUCACAUCUUUGUGUGGAGCAAUUCUUAGCCUUAUUUUACAGAUGAGAAAACUGAGGCCCAGAGAUGUCAAGUAACCAGCCAAAGCCAAACAGAGAAACAGGCAGAGGUAGGACCCGAGUUCGAGUCUCAGAUUCUUCCCUUGAUGCUGGGGUCCAAACCCUGUCUUUUAGCACCAGGGCCCCAAAGCAGAACCUGGCAGAAGUGUGACAAGCAUAGACUCUGGGUGGGCCUCUGAGAUCUGGUAGUUACUGGGUCUGGCGAGAGGAGGCAAUAGAUCAGCAAGUAUUGAUGGUGAUGAGGUGGGUAUAGAGAUGGCUGCAGCUGCCUCCUAGUAGUUUGCUCUCAUGUCCUUUCUGGGGUGGAGAUAUCUGUUAACUUUAUACUUUUAUCUUCUCCAGACUCUUGUCCUCUGCAGAGGAGGAAGGGGAAGUCUAGGGGGUAGGAGAAGGUACAGGAUGACAGAACAAGUCCUCACUCCUGGCCGGUCACCACCAGUGGGCUUUGCUGUUGCCCUGCACAGCCAACUUCCAGCUGGUCUAAGCCUGUCCCUCCUGAAUCAGGCGAAUGCUCAGCCUGAGUCUCUUGCCACAUGGAUGAUGGCAAGGAGAGAGAGGACCUGCUCACUCCUGCAGGCUCCAUUUACUGCCUCUACCCAGUUCUCCGUGAGUACUCAGAAAAGAAUUGGGAUUGGAUUCUGGCGCUCAGGCUGGCAGGGUCAAGGAGCCCAGCAGCUCCUAGAAGCUCACAGUUGGCUCGGCUCUCAUCGAUAUUCCAGCAGGAGAGAUUAGCCUUCUAAUGCAGCAGAAUGGUUCAUGGUUAGACAUCUGGAAGAACUUUCCUGACAGGCAACACAUGGGAAUGGGGAGAGCUGUCCAGCUCUGACAUCCUGGAACAAGGACCGUCUAAUGCCCGUGAGGAGAGGAUGAGACUGGGCUUCGUAUUCUUAACAUUCAUUCCCAGGAAAUCUGCUCUCCACUGGAACAGUCUUCAUGGAGGAGACAGGUCUCUUCUCCUCCCUGCCCCAGAAUCAAAUCAUCCAAAUUCUGUAGAGAAAUGAGUGUUCACCUGAUUUAGACUGUGCUGAGCCGGCAGAGAGGCAGAGGGGACCAAGAGAGGUCCAGGGUUGGAAGGAGAAGGAGGGAUUUCCUUCCUACCCUCCGAAGUGCUAGGGUCAAGGAAUAGAGGGGAGGAUCAGAGGAGGAGCUGCUGCUAUAGAGGGAUAGCCAGAGGCUGAAAAGUCUAUUUUCUUCUUUCGUGGGGCUGGGUUAGGUGAGGAGGGUCACUAGGCCAAACCUCCUACCGAGGGCAGGGAUCUUAGCCCUUUCGGCUCCACCUGUGUGCGAGCUUGCAGAAAGACCGGACUGGCGGACCCAGGCUCAGCGCUGCCAAAAAUUCCACUCCUGGUUUUUGCACACACCAGUCCGUCUGCCCCGGACCGCCGCGGUGUUGAGUCCGGAGCUGACGCCCUCGAGCCGCCAGCAAGCGGAAAACCCGGAGUGGAUCUCCACGCCUUUUGGAUCGGAGCCAAAGGGCACCUCGGAGGAGGUGGCCGGCUCUGCGGCCCUGCCCGGUGCCAGGCCGCG